rnacentral:rRNA from 1 species
AACGAACGCUGGCGGCAGGCCUAACACAUGCAAGUCGAACGCUCGUAGCAAUACGAGAGUGGCAGACGGGUGAGUAACACGUGGGAACCUUCCCUAUGGUUCGGAAUAGCUCAGGGAAACUUGGGGUAAUACCGGAUAAGCCCUUCGGGGAAAGGAUUAUCGCCAUUGGAUGGGCCCGGCCGUCGGAUUAGUCUAGUUGGUGAGGUAACGGCUCACCAAGGCGAACGAUCCGUAGCUGGUCUGAGAGGAUGAUCAGCCACACUGGGA